UACAGAGGUGGCAAGCGUUGUUCGGAAUUACUGGGCGUAAAGGGCGCGUAGGCGGCCUUCUAAGUCGAACGUGAAAUCCCCGGGCUCAACCCGGAACUGCGUCCGAGACUGGAAGGCUUGAAUCCGGGAGAGGGAUGCCGGAAUUCCGAGGUGUAGGCGGUGAAAUGCGUAGAUAUCUGGAGGAACACCGGUGGCGAAGGCGCGAUCCUGGACCGGUAUUGGACGCGUGCGCGCGAAAGCCAGGGGAGCAAGCGGGAUUAGCAUGAACCC
rnacentral:rRNA from 1 species